UCGACGCGCACGUGGAAGUGAUCGCCGCGGGAAAACUGAGUUUGUCUAGUUCCUCCAUGGUUGUGAGAGGGAAGACAUCAUCCUCGCUGUCCACCACUGGAGCACUGGAACGGUUGUUUGCUGCAAGGGACUGGACCACUGAAGUCAGAUGAUUGAUCUUCAUGUCCAGUUCAUUAAGUGCCUCCAGAAUUGUCCUCUCAACAGCUGCAACACAUUAGAUGGGUGUUCACCCCAAGCAUCUUCUUGCUCAUUUUCAUUGGACAAGCUCACUGGAACAGCUGGAGUUAAGAAAGGUGAAGUUGUGAUAGAUGGGUGUUCUUCCCAAGUUUCCAGCUGGCGGUCUGAAUGAGAGAAGCUCAUUGACAUUACAAAAGGUGAGUGUUCACCCCAAUGAUCUUGUGGCUCAUCUGCCUGGGAGAAGCUCAUGGGAACAUCUGGAGCUGACAAUGAUGGAACUGUACUCAUGUAGAGCCUGUUACCUUGACAGCUGGGGAAAGUCUCAAAACGGGCCUGCUCUGGCUUCUCCAUGGCCCUUUGGUGGUGAUUAACAAAUGCUGUUGAAAGAAUUGAGGUGCUGGAGGUUUUGGUGCAGGCGGGACUUUGGUGCGGG